AUUUUUGUGUAAAAUAUUAUUUAUGUAUUUAAUUAUUAAUUAAAGACAUUUUAAAAUUAAUAACGCGUAUAUAGUCAGAGCCGGAUUGUGUAAGUUAAUUAUUUAUGAUUAAAUAACUAGAAAACCUGAAAAUGCUCAAAUAAUUUUCUGAGACGAAACGUCGACGAAUUUUACUUUAUUACAAUUCAGAUCGAAAUAGCCUUUCAGCCGAUUUUACUUUCAAAUGUUGACGAUAACUCAAUCGACGGUCCAUCAUAUUCAUCAGCCUUCGAAUUUGAAGAGUCUGAAAUUAAAGAUAGAGAUCAAUUAUUCGCAAUAUUCAGCUUUAUUAGAUAAUUCGCAAUAUUCACAUUUAGAAAUUGAUAUUAGUUACAAGUAGUUCAUCAUCAGAGACAAGCAGUGACGAAUUUCAAAUCAACCCGCAAGAAAAUGUACAUUUGCCUUUGAAUUGUGCAAUUGGGUAAAUGAAUUUCAAAUUAAUCAAUGCAUUAACCUCUUUAUUACAAGUUCUUUCAAGACACGGGUAUGAUGAUUUACCUCGAGAUGCGCGAAUACUUUUGAACACUCCAAGAUCAGGUACUCAUGAUAUUAAAACCCUUUCCAAAGACGAAUGCAGAGACUACAUCCGUAAGGAACUGAAAAGAUUGUCUAGACACUGUGUGCUAUUGAAGUUCUACUAAAAGAAGGGAAAGCAGGAUGAAGUGAGUCAAUGAAGCUGUAGCACAAGGUCUGUUAUCUCCAUUAUCUCUAAUGACACUGAAACAGUUCUUGCAGUGCGAAAAUCAGUUGGAAGUGAAUAUCAACAUGAGAAAACAAUUUGUACAUAUGAUAUGUCGAAUCGGAGGUUCGACGGAUAAGCAGUUUAUUAGAAAUACUUUAUCACAAAUUAUUUCUAAUGAAGCCACUCAAAUAUCAUGGACAAGUUAGAAGAGUAGUGUAAGCUUUAAAUCCACAUCCAUAUCCAAACUAAUAAUCGGUAACAUUUAUUCCAAUAUAUCUACUUUCCCAUAAUAACAAGGUUUAAAACAUUUUUGUGAGAUUGGAAACAUAGCCUUUUGCAUGUAAUCUUCGUGGCGUCCAUGAAAUUUAUCAUAAAUGUUAAAAUAUCGAUGAGCUAAACAUAAUACUACAUAUCAAAGUAUAAAAGCUCCUACAGCUUACAGAUAAUUUUAACAAGUGUGAAUUACAUAAAUGCGAAAAUUAUAUUCAAAAUUAGAUAAUAAGAUGUCUACUGUUUCUGAUAUCAGAUAAAUGUCCAACUAAUACAUUCUAGCCAUUUUAAUAUCUCGUCGGUACUAACAGAUAAUUUUGGAACGUAUAGUUUGGUUGCCUAUACUAUAAUAUGCAGAGUAUAAAAAUAACAUCUGCUAUUUUUAGUCUCUCUUGCUCCUUUUUCCAAUCCCUUGCUCUUUCUCCAUUCCGCCGUUGAGUUGAGAAGAUUGAAGAGAGAAGAGAGAAGAUUGAAGGUUGAAGAGAGAACAAAGAGUGGGGAAAAGGAAUAAAAAUGGCGGAUGCGAAUACUUAUAGUGCUCUAUCCAUACUUUUACACUUGUUUGAA